AAGCAUAUCAAUAAGCGGAGGAAAAGAAACCAACAGGGAUUGCCUCAGUAACUGCGAGUGAAGCGGCAAAAGCUCAAAUUUGAAAUCUGGUACCUUUGGGUGCCCGAGUUGUAAUUUGGAGAGGCAACUUCGAAGGAGGCGCUGGCCUAAGUUCCUUGGAACAGGACGUCACAGAGGGUGAGAAUCCCGUGCUUGGCUGGCUGUCCUCCUUCAUGUGAAGUGUCUUCAACGAGUCGAGUUGUUUGGGAAUGCAGCUCAAAAUGGGUGGUAAACUCCAUCUAAGGCUAAAUAUUGGCGAGAGACCGAUAGCGCACAAGUAGAGUGAUCGAAAGAUGAAAAGCACUUUGAAAAGAGAGUUAAACAGUACGUGAAAUUGUUGAAAGGGAAGCGCUUGAGACCAGACUCGGUGAUUGGUGAUCAGCGGUUGCUUUUGCUCCGUGCACUUGCCUUUUACCGGGCCAGCAUCAGUUGUAACGGUGGGAUAAAGACUCAGGGAAUGUGGCUCUCUUCGGGGAGUGUUAUAGCCCUGGGUGUAAUGCCACCUGUUGCGACUGAGGACCGCGCUUCGGCUAGGAUGCUGGCAUAAUGGUCUUCAGCGACCCGUCUUGAAACACGGACCAAGGAGUCUAACAUCUAUGCGAGUGUUCGGGUGUAAAACCCCUACGCGUAAUGAAAGUGAACGGAGGUGGGAACUCUUCGGAGUGCACCAUCGACCGAUCCUGAUGUCUUCGGAUGGAUUUGAGUAGGAGCAUAGCUGUUGGGACCCGAAAGAUGGUGAACUAUGCCUGAAUAGGGUGAAGCCAGAGGAAACUCUGGUGGAGGCUCGCAGCGGUUCUGACGUGCAAAUCGAUCGUCAAAUUUGGGUA
rnacentral:rRNA from 1 species